rnacentral:rRNA from 1 species
GACGAACGCUGGCGGCGUGCUUAACACAUGCAAGUCGAACGGAAAGGCCCUGCUUUUGUGGGGUGCUCGAGUGGCGAACGGGUGAGUAACACGUGAGUAACCUGCCCUUGACUUUGGGAUAACUUCAGGAAACUGGGGCUAAUACCGGAUAGGAGCUCCUGCUGCAUGGUGGGGGUUGGAAAGUUUCGGCGGUUGGGGAUGGACUCGCGGCUUAUCAGCUUGUUGGUGGGGUAGUGGCUUACCAAGGCUUUGACGGGUAGCCGGCCUGGGAGGGUGACCGGCCACAUUGGGACUGAGAUACGGCCCAGACUCCUACGGGAGGCAGCAGGGGGGAAUAUUGCACAAUGGGCGGAAGCCUGAUGCAGCAACGCCGCGUGCGGGAUGACGGCCUUCGGGUUGUAAACCGCUUUCGCCUGUGACGAAGCGUGAGUGACGGUAAUGGGUAAAGAAGCACCGGCUAACUACGUG